UGAAGACCCCCUGGAAGGCGUUGAAGGUGGUGAAGAGAUAGGCCAUGACCACCGACUCCUUAUUGAUGAAGAGGAGGCCAAAAGCCCAGGAAGAGCAGCUCAGCCAGGAAGAGGUUGAUGCACAGGUUCUUGUGGAUGGUGUUUCGGUCAGUCUGCAGUCCCCGUAGGAAGCAGAAAGUGGAGAUACAGAUUGCCAGGCAGACCAGGGAGAUGACGAUGCCCACCCAGGCGGCACGCUCACUUCCUCGUGCUCUGGAAGGCUCGUGGAGAGAUGACAAAGGUGACACCAACUUGCUUCUCCAGAGUGCCUUGGGAGAAGGUGGGACCGUGACCAAAGACAACCAGACGUAUGGCCUCAUGCCCCGGGCAAGACUCAGGCCCCCCAUGCCCACG